rnacentral:rRNA from 1 species
UACGUAGGGGGCAAGCGUUGUCCGGAAUCAUUGGGCGUAAAGCGCGUGUAGGCGGCCCGAUAAGUCCGCUGUGAAAGUCCAGGGCUCAACCCUGGGAUGCCGGUGGAUACUGUCGGGCUCGAGUCCGGAAGAGGAGUGUGGAAUUCCUGGUGUAGCGGUGAAAUGCGCAGAUAUCAGGAGGAACACCAAUGGCGAAGGCAGCACUCUGGGACGUGACUGACGCUGAGACGCGAAAGCGUGGGGAGCAAACAGG